rnacentral:Y_RNA from 1 species
AGCUGGUCUGAAGGUAGUGAGUUAUCUCACUUUAUUGUUCAUAGUCGGUUACAGACUCAACUUCUUAUUCUACUACUUUCCCCCUUUCCCACUACUGCACUUGACUAGUCUAAA